UGGGUUGACGAAAUCAAGACCUGAACCGGAGAUAAAGUCAAUAUUUGUCUGUUCGCAGAGGUAGGCAACAAAGGAGAAAAGCCAGAGGCUAAUGCCAUGAAGCAUCCAACACAGAUACAGAAGAAGGGAAGAUUCCUGGAAA
rnacentral:ribozyme from 1 species